ensembl:snRNA U6 U6 spliceosomal RNA
CACAGAACUGUGCUCACUUGGGUGGAAUGAUCCAGCGAAGAUUAGCCCGGCCCCUGAGCAAGGAUGACACACCACUCGUGACGCAUUCCCUCUUUUU